GGCGCGAUGGCGGAGUGGUUAACGCGAGAGACUAGAAUUAAGUAACUUAACUUACCCUUUAACUAAUCUCUUCCCUUCGGGGGCGUAGGUUCGAAUCCUGCUCGCGUCG
rfam:Blastomyces gilchristii SLH14081 genomic scaffold supercont1.2, whole genome shotgun sequence.